AACCAGGGGACCUAGUCAUUUUUGACGGUUAAAAACAGUUAAGGAUUUCUAGGCUAAAUUACCAAUAUUAUAAAGUAAAAUUUGAAUAUUAGGAUAAACUUUUAAAAGCGCUUUCCAAAUCUGUGAAAUCCUUGAGGGAAACUGGGAUUAGAUACCCCACUAUUCAAGGACGCAAAAAGAAUUACCAGGGUACUACGAACUAUGUUUAAAACUCAAAGGGCUUGGCGGUGUUUUAGACCCCCCAGGGGAACCUGUCUCGUAAUCGAUAGUCCACGCAACACCUGACCUUAUUUAUUAGUUUGUAUACCGUCGUCGCCGGGCAACUUCCAAAAAAGAAAAAGUUGGCAGAUAACCGUUUAAGUUUGACGUCAGAUCAAGGUGCCAGCUUAUAAUACGGGGAGGAUGGGUUACAAUUAUAAAUUAUAUUACCGAAGUUGUUUGGAAAGCUUCAUGAAAGGAGGACUUGGAAGUAAGCGAAAAUACAAGAAUACUCUGAAUAUGGCUCUGAAAUGU
rnacentral:rRNA from 1 species